rnacentral:tRNA from 1 species
GCGCCGGUGGUGUAAUGGCGUAGAGCAUUCCCGCCCGGUCAGAGGGAGGUGCGGGUUCGAGUCCCGCCUGGUGCC